AAGGAGUCUAACGUAUAUGCGAGUAUUUGGGUGGAAAACCCUGCUGCGUAAUUAAAGUAAAAUUGUGAGGUAUUCGCACAAAAAACCGACCAAUCGACUGUGAGGGAUUUGAGUAAGAGCAUAUACGUUGGGACCCGAAAGAUGGUGAACUAUGCCUGAAUAGGGUGAAGCCAGGGGAAACUCUGGUGGAGGCUCGUAGCGACACUGACGUGCAAAUCGUUCGUCUAAUUUGGGUAUAGGGGCGAAAGACUAAUCGAACCAUCUAGUAGCUGGUUCCCGC
rnacentral:misc_RNA from 1 species